CAAUCAUUACAGCUAUCGCAAAUAAGCACUGAACAUGGAGGACUCUAGUGGCAGUGGUGUCUUGGACUCGUUUAUUCACUUCGCUCUACUUGCGGGUGCCGUUUUUCAGUUGGCUUGCAUAUUUGCGGUUGUGAUAUUCCCAAAGAGAAAAGAUGAAAUGGAAGAGAUAGAAGAAGAUGGUGCCCUUGAUGCAAAUGAACCACUGAGACAAGAAACAAGUAAUUCAGGAACUAAAAAAUUGAAGGCAGACACAAAAAAGAAAAAAAGAUGAUAUCUUCAAACACAGUUAUAGGAAUAAAAAGUUUGUAUGUGUGUAUGGCAAUAUGGACCAGCAGUUAACCACUGAAACGAA